rnacentral:rRNA from 1 species
UACGAGUGCCUCAAGCGUUAUCCGGAAUCAUUGGGCGUAAAGGUUGUGUAGGUGGUUAUAUUAGUCUUCUGUUAAAUUCUUCGGCUUAACCGGGGGCAUGCAGAGGAAACGGUAUAACUUGAGGAUGCGAGGGGUCUGCGGAACUCAUAGUGUAGCGGUGAAAUGCGUAGAUAUCGAGAGGAACACCUGCGGCGAAGGCGGGUUGCUGGGCUGACACUGACGCUGAGGCGCGAAAGCUAGGGGAGCGAACGGG